AAUUUUAAGCCCAAUCAGAAACAAUGUUGGAUAAGAGUCGCACUGAACCCAAUUGGCCGCCGGCAAACAGAGCCGGACUUGGUCGUCGGCGAUUUUGCGACCGUGUUAGCUCCGCUCCGCACACCUCCGCGAUUGCCCGAUAGCUGAAAGAUUUUACAGGAAUUCAAGAGUUCCUGAUUCACUGGUAUAAUAUAACAAAAAAGUAAGAUGAAGAUUUAAGCCUAUGACAGGGAUCCAAAAAAUCAAGGGUGAAGAUAGAAAAAUGGUCAAACCUAAUUAGAUUUUGGAAAACAUAAUAGGUGUCAGAAAUGUUAUAACAAAUUCUUCUAUAGAGGAGUUAUAUGUCAAAUUUGAAGGUGGAGAAAAACACAAGAAAUGGGAGAUUGAAUUGUGUUCUUUAUCAAAUUUUAGUUCCCUUUCUUUUAAAAUCUUUUCUUUCUUCUUGUAUCUCAUAUAUUGGAUAUGCUAUGAGUUACGAAGCGGAAUCAUAUUCAGAAGAAUAUGUGCAUAACCAAUGAGACGUUUCAUUUUAACUUCUAAAGAUUAUCAGAACUUCUGACUUGCUCAGUACAAUUCUGCAGAUUAAAGCUAGGAGGUUCUGAGUUAAAAUGACAUGUGCAGAAAAUAAAAGACACGUUUAUUUUUAUCCUGGUUCACCUUCUAAAUAAGGCUACCUCCAGUCCACUUUCUUCAGGUGAUUUGCCUCUCAACAGAGGUCUUAAUCCACUAUAACCAAUUCAUGAUUACAACUGCACGAACCUCCGUCGUGACUAACAAUCCUGCAUAGCCAACUGCUGUGACUAACCAUCUGGACAAUGACCCGUUCAGUGAUCUCCAUAAGAUACAACGUUCAUUGACUCAAGAAUCCUACACAGGCUAUCCGCUGUGACUAACCCUGCACAAGCCAACUGCUUGUGACUAACUACAAUGGACUGUUUAGUGAUCUCUUCGAGAUAUAACAUCCAUUGACUCCUGGACUCUUGACCUUCACUUGGUCUCCAAGAGAUUUGCACAAUGACCUCAGCCACUGUUUUCUCAAGCAUCAGACCUUCACUCGGUCGCUCAAGGCAUCAUUAACAAUUUAACUUGGUUUUCACAUAAUGCUUCUUAAUAAGCAGAUAUUCUGAUUACAAACUGUAUGACAAGUAACUUGUUUUAAUCAUUGAACUCUUCUUGUCUGCAUUUUCUGACAGAUCUUUGCUUCUUUGUGGUAAGUAGAGUAAGAUCAUUGUCCUUCAGCAGUGAGUGGUUCUUCAAGUUGAUCUUCGUCUUCACUUCUUCUGCUAAGCAGAUUAGAACAUCAGUUCUUAGUCAGGAUUGCUUCUUGCAUUGAUCUUCAACUUUCUUCUUUAAGCAGAUUAAGAACAACAAUUCUUAUUGAGAGUUGCUUCUUUGGUUCUUCUUCCUUUGAUUUUCUUCAUAAGCAGAUUAAGAACAGCAGUUUUUAUUGAGAGUUGCUUCUUUGAUUCUUCUUCUUUUGAUCUCCUUUAUAAGCAGAUUAAGAACAACAGUUCUUAUUGAGAGUUGUUUCUUUGAUUCUUCUUCCUUUGAUCUUUUUCGUAAGCAGAUUAAGAAUAACAGUUCUUAUUGAAAGUUGCUUCUUUGAUUCUUCUUCCUUUGAUCUUCUUCCUAAGUAGAUUAAGAACAACAGUUCUUAUUGAGAGUUGCUUCUUUGAUUCUUCUUGAGUAAUAAUUUGAAUGGGAGUCUUUAGGGAGACAAUAUUUCGAUCCUCUUUUAUUUAAGGCUCCAUUUAAUUUUCAUAGUUUUUCAUUUCUACAUCUUUUCCUAAAACCACACAUUUCAUAAGAGAUCUUACUUCUUUUUAUAGCUUUGAAAGUGUGUUCGUUGUCUUGAUCUUUGGAAAGCGUAAUAAAUGUAGGCGUGUUUGCACCGUGCUUUUGUUUUCUUCAAUGGACUGCAUGUAGGUUGCUUCUUCAAUCCACCUUGGGAGUUGUUCCUUUUAAUUGUUGUAACCGUUUUGCUAAUGAUGAUGUUUGUAACUGUUUUCUUCUUGAUUCUGAUCCUUUGUAUUUUAUUUGAUUUUGCAUG